AAGAAAUAAAAAGAAGAAGACAUGCGAUGGUGAGAAACAACAAAAUCGUUCAUGGCGAAGUAUACGGCGGCGAUUUUAAAAUGCUCGUAUAAAAUUCUAAAGAAAAACAGAAUUUAGUCAAACGCCUCCUCUGAUAGCUCCGGGAUUAGCUCGACAGAUAAUUGUAGUAAGGAAAUUAAGCAACGAGAGAUGUUUAUCGUGAUGUUACCAAUAGGAAGAGCAGAUCUUCGGGAAUGCCGAUUAACGUUUCGGAUAAUCUCUUGAUUCGUCACCCUCAACGUCAUCUAAACAUUCCACAAAGGCAGCCUGUAUACGCAUCACCGUCACUAUCGUCUAGGAAAGCUGGGUUUGCAAGAUGAGCACCGCUACAGCAGGAAACAGCAUAAUUGCCCCGCAAUGUGAUGCACCAGCCCAUAUGCCACCGAAUCAUUCUCUAACAUAAGUGUACGUCAUCUGAAGAUUGGCAGCCACCGCGUAUACGAGCUCGCCUACACUGGCCCUGAUGCCGUCCAUGACCACCAAUUUUUCGUUACAUCUUCCUCCAAGGCGGAUCCAGUUUCACCUGCAGCAGAAAUGAUAACUGCUGGCAGAACUCCAGACCUGAUAAUGUUGACGCUGAGGAGGAACUGUUUAUCUCUCUCCAUAACAUGCAGAAAAAUAACCAACUAUUUGAGAUAAUGUAAACCCAAAACACAAAAAUAAUUUAAAUAAGUAAAUAAAUAAACUAG